GCAGGAAUACGUUAGCAGGUAGGCUGACUGAAUAGCAACAUUCUCAAUAACGGUUACAGAAAUGUUUUACUUGCUGUGAUAUGUUGUUUAUCUACCUUACUUGAGCAAGUCCCUCUGGAUAAGAGUGUUUGCUAAAUUACCAAAAUGUACAUGUAUAUAUGAAAAUGAUCCAAAAUAAACCAUAAAGCACACUGGGUAUUAUUAUUGGCCUUGUUUUGAGGCGUAGCUGUAAUGGCUGUUGAAGGGAGUAGACCAAGGCGCAGCGUGGUUAGUGCUCAUCUUGUAUUUAUUAAACUAAGAAUGCUAUAAACAAAGAAACAAAAACGACAGCCCACAGUUCUGUCAGGUUAGACAACUAAACAUAAAUAAACCACCCAUAAACACAAUGAAAAAAAAAAACUACUUAAAUAUUGUCUCUAAUCAGAGGCAACGAGAUCAGCUGCCUCCAAUUAGAGACCAACCCCAAACAAUUCCAACAUAGAAAUAGAUACCCUUGAAUAAACAUAGAAAUAGAAGAACAUAGAACAUAACCCAAAAACCCCAAAACACACAGACAAACACCCCCUGCCACGCCCUGACCAAACUACAAUAACAAAUAACCCCUUCUACUGGUCAGGACGUGACAGUAGCUCAUUAGAAUAAUACUCAGCAUGCUUUGCAAUUUUUCAUUGGACACUCUUACAGGCUGACUGCGAUGCAAGCGUUGCAAAAUAAAUUUAGAAAUCUAUGUUAUUGAAUUAUUGCACCCACACUGCUCACGUGCGCCCACGAGUGUCUGCGUUGCCAAGGGCUAACACGGAACCCAAACCGGCUGCGCGCGUGCGCCAUCGUGCAUACAUUUAUUUUGUCCCCCAAAACCAAAUGUGAUCAGGACACGCAGGUUAAAAUAUGAAAACAAACUCUGAACCAAUUAUAUUAAUUUGGGGACAUGUCAAAAAGCAUUAAACAUUUAUGGCAAUUUAGCUAGUUAGCUUGCACUUGCUAGCUAAUUUCUCCAAUUUAGCUAGCUUGCUGUUGCUAGCUAAUUUGUCCUGGGAUAUAAACAUUGAGUAGUUUUUUUACCUGAAAUGCACAAGGUCCUCUACUCCGCCAAUUAAUCCACACAUAAAAUGGUCAACCGAAUCGUUUCUAGUCAUCUCUCUUCCUUCCAGGCUUUUUCUUCUCUUGACUUUAUAUUGCGAUUGGCAACUUUCAUAAAUUAGGUGCAUUACCACCACUGACCUCAUUCGUCUUUCUGUCACCCAAGUGGGUAUAACCAAUGAGGAGAUGGCACGUGGGUACCUGCUUCUAUAAACCAAAGUGGAGAUGGGAGAGGCAGAACUUGCAGUGCGAUCUGCUUCAGAAAUAGAACUGAUUUCUAUUUUAUCCUUUGGCAACGCAGACGCUCGUUGGCGCGUGCAAGCAGUGUGGGUGCAAUUAUUGAAUAACAUAGAUUUCUAAAUAUAUUUUGCAAUGUGAUGUGGUCAGCCUAUUACUCUCUUACUGACGGUUGUGGCUGCUUUGCGUGAUGUAUUGUGGUCUCUACCUUCUUGCCCUUUGUGCUGUUGUCUAUGCCCAAUAAUGUUUGUACCAUGUUGUGUUGCUACCAUGUUGUGUUGCUACCAUGUUAUUAUCAUGUUGUGUUGCUACUAUACUGUGUUGUCAUGUGUUGCUGCCUUGCUAUGUUGUUUUACUGUAGGUCUCUCUUUAUGUAGUGUUGUGUUGUCUCUCUUGUCGUGAUGUGUUUGUUUUGUCCGAUAUUUAUUUAUUUAUAUAUAUAUUAUCCCAGCCCCCUGUCCCUGCAGAAAGCCUUUUGCCUUUAGGUAGGCCAUCAUUGUAAAUAAGGAUUUGUUCUUAAUUGACUUGUCUAGUUAAAUAAAGGUUAAAUAAAAAUAAAUAAAAUAAAACAAAUGUACAUAUACAUUUAUAUUUAGUUCAUUUAGCAGACACUCUUAUCACACCAUAGUGCAAUCAGAGUUCUGUUACCAAUGCAGGGUGAAAGGGGGCAAAACAUUUUUUACUGCUAUAAAAAAUGGUAUAGAAAAGUAUUUUAUAUUUAGAAAAUACAAAUUACAGCUAUCAAAAGUAUCUUGUUACAAAAUACAUUGGAGUAUAGAUCAGCACAGUGUAAUACAAAUACUCAGAAGUAGUGGAAAUAAAUAUUUCAAAUACUUGUAACAGAGAUACUGCCCAUCUCUGGUCAAUGCCCUAACGAGCUAGCAAUGGGGUCGGUAGGAGCUGCCCAAAGGCGCAUGACCAUAGGACGCGUUCCAGAGAAUCGGCUGACAGAGGUGUGACUGCCCAGUUAACAAUGAGCACUCUGGAUAUGUUUUGGCCAUCGCCUCAUUCACAAGGCGCUCGCAAUAUGUCGCUUUGUCAAAGGCAGCCAUGCUCCUGCCAUUCACAUCCCGACCGGCGACACUACAGCUGCCAGUCAGAGGUCAGGCUCUUUUUAAACAUUAAGCCAGCUGCAUGCCUACUCCCUGUCACGACUUAUUUUUAUAUUUAUACAUUUUUAUCAAGACGGGCUUGUGGGGCAAAGUGCAAGCCUAAAUUUCAGAGGCACGGAGAUGGUAUGGAAUUAAAGUAGAAAGGUGCAAGGUCCCAUGGGUGAAGACCUAUGGGCAAACCGGCUCUCCCAUCCCAGUGAGGAAGCCCUCUUGAGACAGAAUGCAGCACGCUCCCCAAACCUGUGA
rnacentral:lncRNA from 1 species